UAUAUAUAACAUAUAUAUAUGUUUUUUUCAUUUUCAGUGUAUGCUGCUUGGAUUUAUUGUAUCAGUGUUGUUUAACAAUAAUAAUGCUUGUUUGUUAUUUGAAGAGCUUUAAUAAAAGUAAAAAAAAAAUAAAAAUCCUUCAACAGUUUGCGCAUGCGCACUCGUUCACGUUCGAAAAAAGCGGAGGGUUACGGAUGGAGAUCAUGAUCAGACUGUCAUCAUUACAGCCACAAGCAACAAACGGAGGAGUUCGGGCUGAACUCUCUUUUAAUUGUCCUCUUUUACUUCGACAGGAUUUUUUGUUUCACAGGGACCUUGUUAGCAUAAAUGCAACUUUAUCACGGAUUGUUCGCUUGACGUCUUUCGAAGUUUUUAAACUUUUCUUGUAUUGGAGUGAGGCCUCGGUGCCAUGCCAGAGAAAUCCCAUAGCACGGCCCAUGACGUCCCAAUGGGUGACGGUAAGACUCGACUCUCAUGGUUAUCAUGAACAU
rnacentral:lncRNA from 1 species